rnacentral:misc_RNA from 1 species
CGGGAUGGUCACGGCGCGCGUCUCUCACAUCCCCGGCGCCUUUUUAUUGAAUAUGCGGCCGUGUUGAUACUGCAAAAUCCCACUAUUUCUGUGUCGGUUAGCGUGGUGUGGCUGCAGGCAGGGGAGUGGCGGCAGCAGCAGCAGCAGCAACACCAGCAACCACCACACACAGGAGGACCCCCCUGCCCCCACCACACCCGCCCCCACCACCACCACCACCAGCGCAGCCAUGAACGGGUCCUUGGGGGAGCGGGUGGCGGUGCUGGAUGCUGGAGCUCAGUAUGGAAAGGUGAUCGACAGACGCAUCAGAGAGCUUAGUGUUGAGAGUGACAUCUUGCCGCUGGACACCCCUGCGUAUACACUCAAGGAGAAGGGCUACAGAGCUAUCGUCAUCUCCGGGGGCCCCAACUCUGUGUAUGCUGAGGAUGCACCGCGUUACGACUCAGACAUAUUUAAGAUUAAUGUUCCUGUGUUAGGCAUCUGUUACGGCAUGCAGCUGAUCAACAAGGAGUUUGGGGGCACAGUGCUGCGGAAGGCUGCUCGGGAGGAUGGCCAGUAUACUAUUGAGGUGGACAACUACUGCCACAUCUUCAAGUACAUGGGCGUGAAGCAAGAGGUGCUGCUGACUCACGGGGACAGCAUAGACAAGGUGGCCGAGGGGUUCAAGGUUGUGGCCACAUCGGGGAACCUUAUUGCUGCUAUCGCCAAUGACAAACUGCGACUUUAUGGCUUACAGUUCCAUCCAGAGGUGGAUUUGACAGAACAAGGUCUUACAAUGAUGAAAAACUUCUUGUACGAGAUCAGCGGACUGUCUGGCACCUACACCCUUCAGAGCAGAGAGUUGCAGUGUAUAAACUAUAUCAAGGAACAUGUGGGCUCUAAUAAGGUUCUGAUGCUAGUGAGUGGAGGGGUGGACUCAACAGUGUGUGCUGCCCUGCUCCACAAGGCCCUGUCAGAGGAGCAGGUGAUAGCAGUCCACAUAGACAAUGGAUUUAUGCGGAAGAACGAGAGUCUACAGGUGGAACAGUCACUUAGGAGGCUGGGACUUAAGCUGAAAGUGAUCAACGCCAGACACCAGUUCUACGACGGGGUGACCAGCAUCCCGGUGGACCCCAGCGACCCCAUGGGCAGGAAACGGGUCACCAAUCUGCUCUGUAUGACCUUCAGCCCGGAGGAGAAGAGGAAGAUCAUUGGCGAUACUUUUAUUAAGGUAGCCAACGAGGUAAUAGAAGAGAUGAACCUACGUGCCGAGGAGGUGAUGCUGGGUCAGGGCACACUGCGACCUGACCUCAUUGAGUCCGCCUCAUCUCUGGUGUCAGGGGCAGCGCAGACCAUUAAGACCCACCACAACGACACUGACCUUGUGCGCCUCUUAAGGGUUCAGGGCCGCGUUGUUGAGCCUCUCAGGGAUUUCCACAAGGAUGAGGUGCGUCAGAUUGGCCGAGACCUUGGGCUUCUAGAUGAGUUUGUGCAGCGCCACCCGUUCCCCGGCCCCGGUCUGGCCAUCAGGGUGGUGUGUGCCGACGAGCCCUUCAUGGAGCGAGACUUCUCCGAGACACAAGUCAUCCUCAAGGUGGUGGUGGACUAUGCUGCCAGUGUGCAGAAGAAACAUGGGCUGCUGAUCCGCAUAGAUAACUGCACCACAGAGGAUGAGAGACAGGAACUCCAGCGCAUUUCACUCACACAGACCCUCACUGCCACCCUUCUGCCUAUCAAGUCUGUCGGCGUGCAGGGUGACUGUCGGACCUACAGUUAUGUGGCAGUGCUCUCCAGCGAUGCCGACCCCGUGUGGAGUGACCUGCUGAUCCUUGCCAGGCUCAUUCCCAAGAUUUGCCACAAUAUCAACAGGGUGUGCUUUGUGUUUGGGGGCACAGUCAAGGAGCAGGUGCACGACAUCACCCAGACCAACCUCACCCCCGGAGUCUUGGCUACGCUGCGCCAGGCCGACUUCCUCGCCAACCAGGUCCUCGCAGAAUCCAGCUUUAUGGAGAAGAUUGCGCAGAUGCCAGUAGUGGUAGUCCCAGUACACUUCGACAGGGACCCCGUGGCGCGUCUGCCGUCCUGCCAGCGGUCUGUGGUGCUGCGGCCCUUCAUCACACACGACUUUAUGACUGGUAUCCCUGCCCUCCCUGGCAAGCACAUCCCUGUUGAGCUGAUCAACAAGAUGGUGGCCGAGAUCUUGUCUGUACCAGGUGUGUGUCGAGUAAUGUACGACCUGACCUCCAAGCCCCCAGGCACGACUGAGUGGGAGUGACCUUGCCUUGGGGCGGGGCGGGGGGGAGGAGGAAGAAGAGGAAAAGGAGGAGGAAGAGGAGGUGCCCCAGAUCACCCCACAAUGCACCAGAAGCUACAUUUAAGAUCAAACUUGCAGCCCUCAGAUCCAGACCACACCACAGGGAACACCAGUCUCAAAUGUCCCACUACACAGGAGAUAGAAGAGGAGGAAGAAGAGAAGGA